rnacentral:lncRNA from 1 species
UUUUUUUUUGUGAUAAAGGGUCAUAGAUUGAGAUUUGAGAGAACGAGAGGAACAACGAGCUACUUCAGCAACUGAUCCACAUCUGUUUUAUUGUAUUUUUCGUCAGUCAUAUGCCCCAAAGUGACUGUUGCGCCAACGAUCAGGGAUCAAGCACCGUAUUAGCACAACAGCGUUUAAUCAGUGGCUGCAGAGCUCCUCGUCAAGCUUGUGACUGUCUGGCGGAUACGCUUUCGUCCAACGUUCGCAACCAACAAAAAGACCGAACAGGAGAUACACCAUUCAGAAAGCCAUCUGAGAGAUAAACCAAAACUGCUGAACACAAACUGUCAAUAAACAGUGAACCUAAACACCACGAGAAUACAACCACGACAGGGUGAAAAUUCUCAGUUCUUUGAAGCUAGAGUUGAUUCACUUUCAGAAAAUAGGUGUUCAUCAGGUCUGCAACACGACAUAACAUACUUGUGGACUAACAAAACCCAGAGUAAAGGAUAAGAUAAGCCGCCCUUCGAGCAAGAAGAUGC